CGGACAUUUAUUUUUAUUGAGUUUCUUCUCAAGGUGAAGAUAACUCUUUGUAAAUGUCCUAGAGAAAUGUAGUAGCUUUCUGUUCACCCUUUGCAAGUAAAAACGGUGAAUCGUUCCACUGCUGACAUUA
rnacentral:snoRNA from 1 species